rnacentral:rRNA from 1 species
CUGUGCAAAGGUAGCAUAAUCAUUAGUUUUUUAAUUGAAGGCUUGUAUGAAUGGUCUGACAAAGGAAAAGCUGUCUUUAGUUUUAAUUUUGAAUUUAACUUUUAAGUGAAAAGGCUUAAAUAAUUUUAAGGGACGAUAAGACCCUAUAAAUCUUUAUAUUAGAAUGUUAUCUUGAGAUUUAAUAGUUAGUUUAAAUUUAACAAGAAAAUAAUAAAUAUUUUGUUGGGGUGAUGAGAAUAUAAAAAUAACUGUUCUUAAAAAAAAAACAAAGUUGUUUGAAAUAAUUUAUAGAUCCUUUUUUGAAGAUUAAAAGUUUAAGUUACUUUAGGGAUAACAGCGUUAUUUUUUUUGAGAGUUCUUAUCGAAAAAAGAGUUUGCGACCUCGAUGUUGAAUUAAAAUUUCUUUACGGGGUAAAAGUUGUAAAARARAGUCUGUUCRACUUUUGAAAUUUU